rnacentral:rRNA from 1 species
GGACUACAGGGGUAUCUAAUCCCGUUUGCUCCCCUGGCUUUCGCGCCUCAGCGUCAGAAGAGGGCCAGCCGCGCGCUUUCGCCACCGGCGUUCCUUCCGAUAUCAACGCAUUUCACCGCUCCACCGGAAGUUCCCGCGGCCCCUACCUCCCUCCAGACCAGCAGUAUCCAAGGCACUUUUCCGGUUGAGCCGAAAGAUUUCACCCCGGACUUGCUGAUCCGCCUACGCGCCCUUUAAGCCCAGUGAUUCCGAACAACGUUCGCACGGUUCGUCUUACCGCGGCUGCUGGCAC